GUAAGGAUGCGCACGGUGAAUGAAAGAGGUAGAGAAGAAGAAAGAGAGAAAGAAGGAAGCAAUGAAAUGCAACGGCGGAACUCAUUUGUUCGUUUGACCACUGUUUGCGUAUGUUUCUGUCUGCCCUUAUAUGUC
rnacentral:ribozyme from 1 species